AUUGAACGCUGGCGGCAGGCCUAACACAUGCAAGUCGAGCGAGCGGCGGACGGGUGAGUAAUGUAUGGAGCUCUGCCCGAUAGAGGGGGAUCACUACUGGACACGGUGGCUAAUACCGCAUAAUAUCGGGUGCCCCCAUAGGGGUUUCGCUAGUGGGUGGGGUAAAGGCUCACCUAGGCGACGAUCUCUAGCUGGUCUGAGAGGAUGCUCAGCCACACUGGGACUGAGACACGGCCCAGACUCCUACGGGAGGCAGCAGUGGGGAAUAUUGCACAAUGGGCGCAAGCCUGAUGGAGCCAUGCCGCGUGUAUGAAGAAGGCCUUAGGGUUGUAAAGUACUUUCAGCGGGGAGGCGUUACCCGCAGAAGAAGCACCGGCUAACUACGUGCCAGCAGCCGCGGUAAUAC
rnacentral:rRNA from 1 species